CAGGAAGAUCAGGGAAAAUGAUUUCAACAAAACAAGGUAUACAACUUGGAGCUUGAUUUCACCAAGAAAUUAGUUUUUCAAUCAUUUAGUUUUUCUGAAACAAAUGUUGACAAUCUAUCUUUGCCUAGCCUCCCAAAUACUCUUCCCCCAUUCAGUUGCUAGGUGCAUGAAGAUUAAGAGAAAUGACAAAAGCAGAGGGACACUGGAUGAGUGAUGGAUUCAGAACUAUUGUAGCCCUCUCAAUAAUUAGUUCUAUAAUCUACCUUCUGGUUAGCAUUACUUAUUUUUUAAAAGUAAAAAAUGUAUUAGAACUCAAGAAAGCAAAACAAAAUAAAUAUUCAAAUACAAUAAUUCCUUUUAUCAGCUCAUAGACCUACAUGUCUCCCUCAAUCACUGAUUUCUAGAUAUUCUAGUCUUCUAUAGUUUUACGAAGUCAGAUUGCAACUGUUUAAGGAAAUUUUAAAUUGAAUCCUAAGUUGUUUGUGUGUGCUUCAAAUGCAAUUUGUUUAAAAACCCACCAUGAAAAGAAGCUAGUAUUUCUGGAGUACCUUAUUAGACAUUAUAUUCCAGCUUGGUCACUUAAGCUUUGAAUAUUUACUGCAACAUAGAUAUUAGUCCUACUUUGAUAGAUGAGAAGUAUCUUCUUCAAAAAAAUUAACUCACUCAAGAUUACACAGCUAUGUAGGACUAGAUUUUGCAAACUCCAAUGUCCAAAUUGUGUAUGUGUGUGUUAUAUUGGAACUUUUAACUCAAAUCCUCUAACUCUCCUGGCUUUUUUGCUCAAGUCUGGUGCUCUACCACUUGAACCACACCUCCAUUAUGGCUUUUGCUGGAUAACUGUAGCAAUGAGAGUUUCAUG